rnacentral:lncRNA from 1 species
AAAAAGCCCUGGUUUGAGCACCUGUUCCUUCUCACGAUAAGAGCCACUGAAUCACGAUAAGUUCAGAACAGAAUCAGAGAUCUUGUGAUGAGAGACGGAGACAGCAGACUUAAUAAUUGUAUAGUAUCAGACUUCUUUAAGCAUGUUCCUCCCGUAGAAGAGGAUUCGACCAACUUCAGGAGAUAUUUUAGUAAUCCUGUCGCUGCUAAGCGUCAUUAUCUGGCAGAAGGCAUCACGGACUGGCAAGACAGCAGAGGUGCUACGGGAGAUCCUUGAGGCUUAUGACCUUCAGGUAUGUCUAGGAUUAACUGCACAACAGUGAUCACAUUUUGUUUGUUACUAAAACUUUAAUAUUAGUUGAUACUAUGUAUUAUUAAUUGCCGAGGAAUCUGUCAGCUGAUAGUGAUCAUACAUCAGAACAUUGACACAUUUAUGAGUUAUUGUUGAGAGGGCCUAGACAGCAGUGAACAAGUUCAAAUAUAUUCCUGCAAUAAUUAUUAUUUUAAUUUGUCAAUCAAGGAAGAACAUGAUGUCAAUUUGAGACGCACUUUGUCCCUUCGUGCACUUCCUGUCUACCUGCGUGAGGAUGUUUCGGUGUUCAAGACCUGCAAUGAGGAAGAGGAGCCAGAUUUUGAUGAUGCUCCUGUUGCUCUCCUUACAUCGGGUCCCGACCCCUUCAGCUGCGAGAACAUCUUUGAAUUGGGUGCAGAGGUUUUCUGAGGCAUUUAUGUUGUUGUUUGGCCUGACAUAUGCUUUCAAUUUAGAAUAUCCCAAAAAACUCACGCACACAUUCUCAUACAGAACAUUUUUAUGUGUCUGGAUGACAACAAACUUCUGAAACCGUCCUUACUCACCUUAAAAAAUUAUUUGUUGAAAUAAACGAUUUGUUGUUGACUUGUUAACUUUGUAA